rnacentral:lncRNA from 1 species
ACAAGUAUGUAAGAAGGCAAAGAAUUAAGCUAACAUUUGAUGUGUAAAUAGAAGCAAUGUUUUUUUUCUUAUUUUUAUUUUUAUUUUUAUUUUCUUAUUUUGUACUUAUAUUUUUUAGACGGGAUGCCAAAUAUUGAGUUUCAUUGUUCUAUAUGGCUAUAUCAAAAUUGACUCCAAUUAAUUUACUAAUAUACUCAUUCGUGUGAUGCACGACAGGAUAUCAAAAUUAAAUGAUAUAUUUAAAUAAAUAAAUAAUAUAAAUAUUAAACAAAAUCAAAAUAUAAACAAAUACAAAAUAUGUUUUAAAAAUAAAAUAUAUUAAUCCACACCAAUUAC